rnacentral:piRNA from 1 species
UGUGAAAGUUGAGGCUGGGAAUAAGGUGU